rnacentral:rRNA from 1 species
GAUGAGCGCUGGCGGCGUGCCUAAUACAUGCAAGUCGAGCGAACGGACGAGAAGCUUGCUUCUCUGAUGUUAGCGGCGGACGGGUGAGUAACACGUGGAUAACCUACCUAUAAGACUGGGAUAACUUCGGGAAACCGUAGCUAAUACCGGAUAAUAUUUUGAACCGCAUGGUUCAAAAGUGAAAGACGGUCUUGCUGUCACUUAUAGAUGGAUCCGCGCUGCAUUAGCUAGUUGGUAAGGUAACGGCUUACCAAGGCAACGAUGCAUAGCCGACCUGAGAGGGUGAUCGGCCACACUGGAACUGAGACACGGUCCAGACUCCUACGAGAGGCAGCAGUAGGGAAUCUUCCGCAAUGGGCGAAAGCCUGACGGAGCAACGCCGCGUGAGUGAUGAAGGUCUUCGGAUCGUAAAACUCUGUUAUUAGGGAAGAACAUAUGUGUAAGUAACUGUGCACAUCUUGACGGUACCUAAUCAGAAAGCCACGGCUAACUACGUG